AUGUGCUCUGCACCUGUGAGCACUGCUAUAUUAAAGAGGGGGGUCAUACACUGUCCAGGGCCUGGCCCUUCAGGAGGUGUUUUUUGGAGAGUGUUACUUGCUUUGUGUUGCUGUGACUUUGGUUAUUAUAUUUCCCUACUCGUAGUGAUGCUUUGGACCCUCCACCAGAUGUGCUUUGAUUUGUUCCUUGAAGUAGCCCUGGAAAGGAAAACAAACAGAAAACAAAACACAGAAACACACAAAUAAAAAAAGAAAAGGAAAGGAAAAAAACAACCCAAAAGCAAAAAACCAGAAAUACCAGCUGCAAGUAAAGAACAGGGUAGAGGUGGUGCUGAUGGAAGAGCACAUACAAAGAGAGAAAUGACAAGGGUAGGGAAAAAGAAAAA